UGGGGAAUAUUGGACAAUGGGGGCAACCCUGAUCCAGCCAUGCCGCGUGUGUGAAGAAGGCCUUUUGGUUGUAAAGCACUUUAAGCAGUGAAGAAGACUCCAUGGUUAAUACCCAUGGACGAUGACAUUAGCUGCAGAAUAAGCACCGGCUAACUCUGUGCCAGCAGCCGCGGUAAUACAGAGGGUGCAAGCGUUAAUCGGAAUUACUGGGCGUAAAGCGAGCGUAGGUGGCUUGAUAAGUCAGAUGUGAAAUCCCCGGGCUUAACCUGGGAACUGCAUCUGAUACUGUUAGGCUAGAAUAGGUGAGAGGAAGGUAGAAUUCCAGGUGUAGCGGUGAAAUGCGUAGAGAUCUGGAGGAAUACCGAUGGCGAAGGCAGCCUUCUGGCAUCAUAUUGACACUGAGGUUCGAAAGCGUGGGUAGCAAACAG
rnacentral:rRNA from 1 species